rnacentral:rRNA from 1 species
UACGUAGGGUGCAAGCGUUGUCCGGAAUUAUUGGGCGUAAAGAGCUUGUAGGCGGUUUGUCGCGUCUGCUGUGAAAUUUCGGGGCUCAACCCCGAACUUGCAGUGGGUACGGGCAGACUAGAGUGUGGUAGGGGAGACUGGAAUUCCUGGUGUAGCGGUGAAAUGCGCAGAUAUCAGGAGGAACACCGAUGGCGAAGGCAGGUCUCUGGGCCACUACUGACGCUGAACCGCGAAAGCUAGGGGAGCAAACGGGG